ensembl:lncRNA
AUGGAGACCCAGCCCCACCUGCAGCCCGACUGCCCGGGCCCUCUGCAGAGCUCCGGAAAGCCCGUCCCUGCCGGCUCCGGCCCCGGGGUCACCGGACAGAGCACACCCAGACCGGGGCCAUCAGCUGGGCCCGGGCUGUGCCUGUCGCCUCAGCCCUGGCGCUGCUGCUCUGACGGCCUCGGCCCCAUCAGCUUUAUCCUCAGCCUGGGCCUUGUCACCCGACACGGGAAGACAGACAAGUUCCUUCAGGGAUCCUUGGCAGAAAGACGAUGGAAUUAUUGCCGGGGGGAGCCUCUCCCGGCCCCACCCGGCCCCUGUCAGUCCCAGGGAGCUCAGCGGGGCAGCCCCGAUCUCCCCCUCGGCUCCAGGCCCCACUGCCAGGGGAUGGCAGCCUGGAGCCAUCACGGGACCCUCCUCUGGGCAGCUGCUCCUCUGCACAGCAGCCGCUCGGCCUCACUCAGCCGGGGGGCUUUAAACCUGCUGCAACUGCCGGGCCCACGGACUGGGAGCAAAUCACAGCACAAGGGUUCAAAGGCAACCAGGGCGCUCAGCCGGUUUCAUCUGCUCCCCACUGGGACAGAACAAAGUCGGCUUAGCUGCUAAGAAAGGAGGAGCCACUUGGUGAAGGGCCUGAAGCAGCAAACUUGAGGAACCUGAAUUCCCUGAACAGCAUGAGCAUGGAGAAAUUUUUACACAAGACUUCAGUACUGGACAUGGCAAGAAAGGAAUUCAGCUCCAUAAUUUCCACCUCUCUUGAGUGCAGCCUGUUUGGUAGGAGGCUACUGUUCAACCAAAAGAGACAAGGCUAUGGUCAGUAUAUGUUCCUGAGUGACUUGUCUUUCUCCAAGGAUCUGUGAGUGGCAGCUGAAGAUACAGAGAAAUUUGGCAGGUCCCUAUUCCUGUAUGAAGAAUUAUUUUGUGAAGGUUACAUGAUAAAUCAGAUGCUACAUGCUGUCCACAUUACUGUAUUAACUAGGCAAGAAUUCAAAAUUUCCACAUCAGUCCUCUGGUGUGGGCAACUGGGCAACUCUUCUUCCUAAUCCAUGUGAAAAGAUGAACCUUCUGAGAUAUUCAACUGUCCCCAUAACUUGUGUGGUGUUCUCAGGGCUGAGCUCUGGGUUUGGCUUCCAAUCUGAGGUCCAAAAUGUGCCAGAGGGUCUCCUACAGCACAGGAAAUCACUUGAUGCUGUAUAUUGCACUGGAUCACUGACACUGGUUUUCUGCCCUCUUUGCUGUGAUAUUCACUGAGAUAUUUUAAUGAUUGAAAUGCAAAUGACCAGAAGACAAGUGUGUUUAGACCCGGAGAAUCUGAAGAAGUUUAGGGGAUUAGUGUAGAUCAAGUGUGGAUGUGGCACUUGGGGACAAGGUUCAGGGUGGACUUGGCCGUGCUGGACUAAUGGUUGGACUGCCCUUUUCCAACCUAAACAGUUCUUUGAUUCUAUGAUUCUGUGAUUACACCCUUUCCUAAAACUAGACCAGUACUAGAUCAGUUAGUUGCUUGCACUCUUUAUCCCACACCAUCAACAUUACACAAGAAUUCCUGCAACUUCCUACUGCCUCUACUGCUCUGGUACAGACAGUCUUGUGUUGUUGGGUGUUUCUGGGACUGUGAAUGUGUAAAUACACUUAUUUUGAUGGCACGGCACUGCAAGACUGAGGAUUUAUCAGAAUGUAUAGUAGCUGGAACUGUAUGUUGAGGUGAUGAGUGUGAUUGUGUGCACGAGCAUGGCAGGGAAAGGCAUGUUGGUUUUGGGGGAGUUGCACAUAGAGAGGGGAUAUGGGAACUACUGGAACUUCAUAUUUGACUGAGGAAACUCAUUAUUUAUGCAGACAAUAAAGGGAGAAAGCAAGCAUCA